rnacentral:tRNA from 1 species
AAAGCUUUAAGUUAAAAUAAAACUGUUAACCUUCAAAGUUAGAAAUAGUUACAUAACUAAGCUUUA